rnacentral:rRNA from 1 species
GAUGAACGCUAGCGGCAGGCCUAAUACAUGCAAGCUGAACGGUAAAUAUUGUAGCAAUACGAUAUGAGAGUAGCGUAAGGGUGCGUAACACGUAUGCAAUCUGCCCCGUACAGGAGGAUAGCUCGGCGAAAGCCGGAUUAAUACUCCGUAAUAUUAUUGGAAGGCAUCUUUUGAUAAUUAAAGUCGCAAGACGGUACGGGAUGAGCAUGCGUCUGAUUAGCUAGUUGGUAGUGUAACGGACUACCAAGGCGAUGAUCAGUAGGGGAACUGAGAGGUUGAUCCCCCACACUGGCACUGAGAUACGGGCCAGACUCCUAAGGGAGGCAGCAGUAGGGAAUAUUGGUCAAUGGAUGCAAGUCUGAACCAGCCAUGCCGCGUGCAGGAAGAAGGCCUUCUGGGUUGUAAACUGCUUUUGCCGGGGGAUAUAAUUCCCAUGCGUGGGAAAUUGAAGGUACCCGGUGAAUAAGCCACGGCUAACUACGUGCCAGCAGCCGCGGUAACAC